UCNUGGGAUAACACUGACGUUCAUGCCCGAAAGCGUGGGUAGCAAACAGGAUUAGAUACCCUGGUAGUCCACGCCCUAAACGAUGUCGAUUAGCUGUUGGGCAGCAUGACUGCUUAGUAGCGAAGCUAACGCGUGAAAUCGACCGCCUGGGGAGUACGGUCGCAAGAUUAAAACUCAAAGGAAUUGACGGGGACCCGCACAAGCGGUGGAUGAUGGGGAUUAAUUCGAUGCAACGCGAAGAACCUUACCUGGUCUUGACAUGUACGGAACCCUCCAGAGACGGAGGGGUGCCUUCGGGAGCCGUAACACAGGUGCUGCAUGGCUGUCGUCAGCUCGUGUCGUGAGAUGUUGGGUUAAGUCCCGCAACGAGCGCAACCCUUGUCAUUAGUUGCCAUCAUUAAGUUGGGCACUCUAAUGAGACUGCCGGUGACAAGCCGGAGGAAGGUGGGGAUGACGUCAAGUCCUCAUGGCCCUUAUGACCAGGGCUUCACACGUCAUACAAUGGUCGGUACAGAGGGUAGCCAAGCCGCGAGGUAGAGCCAAUCUCACAAAACCGAUCGUAGUCCGGAUUGCACUCUGCAACUCGAGUGCAUGAAGUCGGAAUCGCUAGUAAUCGCAGGUCAGCAUACUGCGGUGAAUACGUUCCCGGGUCUUGUACAC
rnacentral:rRNA from 1 species